CCUGACCUGGAACUUGCUUUGUAGUCUAGGCAAGCUUCAAACUCAGAUCCCCUGCCUCUGCCAGGGAUUAAAGACGUGGGUCACCUUGUGAGUCAGCUCUGUUCUUUUUGAGUCAGAAGUUUUAGGUAGUCUAAGCUGGCCUCAAAUUCAUCCUGUGGUUUGACCUUGGGAUUCUGUCCUACCUCCAAGAGCUGGGAUUACAGGUUGGUGCUACUCUGUCCUGUUUUAUGCCAUGCUGGGAUUUAAGACCUCAAGCUUACAUUGGGCAAGUUGCUAGGCAGGCAUUGUACCAGUUGACUGUGUCCCAGGUCUCUUCACAAUGACAUUAUUUUUGAAAAGGAAGCUUAAAAUUUGCUAAAGGAUCUUCCAGGAGACCCGGGCAGGGCUCUCUGCCUCCAGAUCACGCUGGACUCCACCCUUGGUUGUGUAGUGGAUGCCUAGCUGGCAGUGGCUGUCUCGGAUAGACACUGAGAUGGUAAUGCCCUCAUCCUUCUGCAUUAUGAUUCCCCUGAGGUAGGCCAGUAGGCCAGAUCUCUGCUCCCUUUCAAAAAUGCUUUUAGUUCAUAAUAUAAUUACGUCAUUUCUCUCUUCUCCCUCCAAACCCUCCCAUAUACCUCUCCUUGUUCUCUACAUCUUUCUUGGUAAAUAGAAUUCCUUGGCCAAGAACGCAGGAGAGGAAGACUGGAUUUAAGGCCUUGCCAUCUGCAUACUUCUUGCCAUUCUCUCUGCCCUGGGGUCUGGAGGAGUCUGUUCUGCUUACCUGCCUUGAGGGAAGGGUUCCACCAUUCAGCCUGUCACUGUGGGUGGGAAGUGUUGAAUUUGUAGUUCAGGGACAGAAAGCUGUUUAUCCUGCGCUUUGCUUUGCUUGGAGUGGUCAGCACCUGGGAUGGGGUCUAAGAAUUCUUAAAAGCUCUGAAAACCCCGAGGAUGCAGAAUCUUUGCCUUUUUUAGGGAAAAGAGCUUUGGAAACAGGCUUUUUGAGCUUACCUAGCAAUUUUGAAUUAUGGGCAUGGGAUUGGAGAACAGAUAGGCUGGGCCUAAGAAUACAGCCCGCCAGAGGAGGACAUAGAGGCCACUCCGGAGGAGCCCGCCUAGGAGGGGCCUGAGUGUUUGCUCAGCAUGCAGUUGGGUAGAGUGGGCGGUAGAGCCCCGGGAGGCCCGCCCCUUAGAGACAUCUGACACAGCCUCAACUCUGAGGGUAGUGCACAUCUGGGUAGCUGGCAGGAGCAUGAACGUCUCACAGGUGGGAGCUGCAGCCAAGGCUGCCUGGCUGAGCUGCUGCAACCAGUCUGGGUCGCCACUCCGAUCCCCGGAGGGGCCACGCCUGGUGCAGGCAGUCGUGCUGGGCGUCCUGUCGCUUCUGGUGCUCUGUGGGAUCCUGUUCCUGGGUGGUGGACUCCUCCUCCGUGCCCAGGGCCUGAUAGCCCUGCUAGCUCGAGAAAGGCAUUCAUCCCCUGAGGCCGAGCCCAGUACCUGUGGAGGGGACGAAGACUCCUAACUGUCAGCUGCUCUGGAGAUUAAGCCCCUUCUCGGCCAUCCAGAGCUCAGUUCUGUGGGGCACAGCAGAAGGUCCGUCCCGCAAGCCCUGCGCAGGUGCUGAGCCUCUCCCUCACCUGCCGCCCACCUGCACCCCCAUUUGUGCUGCAGAUGAUGAAGGACCCAAGACAGCGGACUGGUGACUCCUCAUCCUGGGACCCUGGAGUCAGCCUCCUCUGAGAGGCUCUCAAUGCUCCUGGAGUGGGUGCAGGAGGAGCCCCGUGCUCAGAACAAGUGAGUCCGCUUGGCGAUUGCCAUGGGCACUGGCUUUAAGCCCCAGCUGUGUGGACACUGGCGUGCCCUGUGCACACCAGGGCUCUGUGGACAUGAGCGGCUCCUGUUCUGCCUGAUGCCAGAGGGGCAGCGGCAUCUGACAACCCAGUGGCCCACUCCUGCUGAGAACCUGGGUGGGCACCUCCCAUCUGGAGAGUGCGUCAGCCAUCCGGCAGCCACACAACUUCCCAUGGCUUUGCUAUUAAAUGAGGCCAGUAAUGCAGCUCCAAGUGUGUGGUCUGUUUCCAGCCCUUGACCCUCAGGAUUCUUGGUUUGUUUCCUCAUCUCCCCUCAAUUUGGCCUGCUUCUAGUAGAUUUCUUUUUUUAAAGAAAGGAUUUACAAGGAGCUGGAGAGAUGGCUCAGUGGUUAAGAGCACCGACUGCUCUUCCAGAGGUCCUGGGUUUGAUUUCCAGCAACCACAUGGUGGCUCACAACCAUCUGUAAUGAGAUCUGAUGUCCUCUUCUGGUGUCUGAAGACAGUUACUGUGUACUUAUAUAUAAUAAAUUAAAAAAUAUUUAAAAAAGAAAGGGUUUACAAUAGCCCAAGCUGACCUAAUACUAGGUGUGUGCUCUAAGAUGGCCCUGAGCUUAUGGUAAUCCUCCUGCUGCAGCCUCUCGGGGAUUACAGACAGGACCCACCACAGCUGGUUUAGAACCGAG
ensembl:lncRNA Smim41 small integral membrane protein 41